rnacentral:rRNA from 1 species
UACGUAGGGUGCGAGCGUUAAUCGGAAUUACUGGGCGUAAAGUGUGCGCAGGCGGCCGCGCAAGUCGAGUGUGAAAGCCCCGGGCUCAACCUGGGAAUUGCGAUGGAGACUGCAAGGCUUGAAUCUGGCAGAGGGGGGUAGAAUUCCACGUGUAGCAGUGAAAUGCGUAGAGAUGUGGAGGAACACCGAUGGCGAAGGCAGCCCCCUGGGUCAAGAUUGACGCUCAUGCACGAAAGCGUGGGGAGCAAACAGG